AUUGAACGCUGGCGGCAGGCCUAACACAUGCAAGUCGAGCGGAUGAAGGGAGCUUGCUCCUGGAUUCAGCGGCGGACGGGUGCGUAAUGCCUAGGAAUCUGCCUGGUAGUGGGGGAUAACGUCCGGAAACGGGCGCUAAUACCGCAUACGUCCUGAGGGAGAAAGUGGGGGAUCUUCGGACCUCACGCUAUCAGAUGAGCCUAGGUCGGAGUAGCUAGUUGGUGGGGUAAAGGCCUACCAAGGCGACGAUCCGUAACUGGUCUGAGAGAUUGAUCAGUCACACUGGAACUGGAACACGGUCCAGACUCCAACGGGAGGCAGCAGUGGGGAAUAUUGGACAAUGGGCGAAGGCCUGAUCCAGCCAUGCCGCGUGUGUGAAGAAGGUCUUCGGAUUGUAAAGCACUUUAAGUUGGGAGGAAGGGCAGUAAGUUAAUACCUUGCUGUUUUGACGUUACCAACAGAAUAAGCACCGGCUAACUUCGUG
rnacentral:rRNA from 1 species